rnacentral:misc_RNA from 1 species
GAACGCACAUUGCGCCCGCCCGUAUUCUGGCGGGCAUGCCUGUUCGAGCGUCAUUACAACCCUCAGGCCCCCGGGCCUGGCGUUGGGGAUCGGCGGAGCCCCCCGUGGGCACACGCCGUCCCCCAAAUACAGUGGCGGCCCCGCCGCAGCUUCCAUUGCGUAGUAGCUAACACCUCGCAACUGGAGAGCGGCGCGGCCACGCCGUAAAACACCCAACUUCUGAAUGUUGACCUCGAAUCAGGUAGGAAUACCCGCUGAACUUAAG